rnacentral:lncRNA from 10 species
UCACUGCAUUCCAGCCUGGGUGACACAGCGAGAUUCCAUCUCUAAAAGAAAACACAACAGUACAGGAUUAUCCAACUAGCCGAUGAAACAUGUAUUUAGGGCACACAUGCACAGACUCGAGGGAAAACAUUUGGAAAAAAUAAGUUCAAAAAUAAUAAUUAAAAUAUAUUUCACCUUAGUAUUUUAUUUUUAAUUAUAUUUGGGAAGAGACCUUAUGAUCUUCUCAGUGCCCAGGGUUUCUGAAGGUCUUCAUCUAGUCCUGCUAGCCCAGUAGGAAAAAAAAAAAAUCUUCUCCUAAAAACCGGAUUCCUCUCCUGUUUUCUCUGAUAUGAAUUCAUUCAGAAAAACCAAGGCAUGGUAUGGUGAAGUAAUUUGCCUA